rnacentral:rRNA from 1 species
AGUGAACGCUGGCGGUAGGCCUAACACAUGCAAGUCGAACGGCAGCACAGGAGAGCUCGCUCUCUGGGCGGCGAGUGGCGGACGGGUGAGGAAUACAUCGGAAUCUACUUUUUCGUGGGGGAUAACGUAGGGAAACUUACGCUAAUACCGCAUACGACCUACGGGUGAAAGCAGCGGACCUUCGGGCCUUGCGCGAUUGACUGAGCCGAUGUCGGAUUAGCUAGUUGGCGGGGUCAAGGCCCACCAAGGCGACGAUCAGUAGCUGGUCUGAGAGGAUGAUCAGCCACACUGGAACUGAGACACGGUCCAGACUCCGACGGGAGGCAGCAGUGGGGAAUAUUGGACAAUGGGCGCAAGCCUGAUCCAGCCAUACCGCGUGGGUGAAGAAGGCCUUCGGGUUGUAAAGCCCUUUUGUUGGGAAAGAAAUCCAGCUGGCUAAUACCCGGUUGGGAUGACGGUACCCAAAGAAUAAGCACCGGCUAACUUCGUGCCAGCAGCCGCGGUAA